rnacentral:rRNA from 1 species
AAGCGUUUAUGACCAGACUUGGGGCCGGCCGAUCAUCCAGCGUUCUCGCUGGUGCACUCGGCCGGUCUUAGGCCAGCAUCAGUUUGCGCCGGGGGAUAAAGACUUCUGGAACGUAGCUCCUCUCGGGGAGUGUUAUAGACAGUUGUGUAAUACCCUGGUGCGGACUGAGGAACGCGCUUCGGCACGGAUGCUGGCGUAAUGGUCAUCAACGA